rnacentral:misc_RNA from 1 species
GAUGAAGAACGUAGCGAAAUGCGAUAAGUAGUGUGAAUUGCAGAAUUCAGUGAAUCAUCGAAUCUUUGAACGCACAUUGCGCCCCUUGGUAUUCCAUGGGGCAUGCCUGUUCGAGCGUCAUUUGCACCUUCAAGCUCUGCUUGGUGUUGGGUGUUUGUCUCGCGUCUGCGUGUAGACUCGCCUCAAAACAAUUGGCAGCCGGCGUAUUGAUUUCGGAGCGCAGUACAUCUCGCGCUUUGCACUCAUAACGACGACGUCCAAAAGUACAUUUUUACACUCUUGACCUCGGAUCAGGUAGGGAUACCCGCUGAACUUAAGCAUAUCAAUAAGCGGAGGA